rnacentral:lncRNA from 1 species
GCCAGACCUGCUGGCCACCUCCAGCGAUUUCCUCCGCGUGUGGCGCAUCUCGGGGGAUGAGGACAACUCAGACUCCUCGUCGUCAGUGGAGCUCAAGUCCCUCCUCAACGGCAACAAGAACUCCGAGUUCUGCGGGCCCAUCACCUCCUUCGACUGGAACGAGGCGGAGCCGAAGCGCAUCGGCACCUCCUCCAUCGACACCACGUGCACCAUCUGGGACAUCGAGCGCGAGGCCGUAGACACCCAGCUCAUCGCCCACGACAAGGAGGUGUACGACAUCGCAUGGGGCGGCGUCGGUGUAUUCGCCUCCGUCUCGGCGGACGGCUCCGUGAGAGUGUUUGACCUGCGCGACAAGGAGCACUCCACCAUCAUUUACGAGAGC